CUGCUACCAAGUAAGUCAACCAGUUCCUUUCUUCAUGGGGUCCUUGUGUGCAAUAGUCAUGAGCAGCAGCCUCCUUGGGAGUGCAUUCAUCCUGUUGCCAGUAGGAGUUGUCCCAAGGGACAUUGGAGACAGUU